rnacentral:rRNA from 1 species
GAACGCUAGCUACAGGCUUAACACAUGCAAGUCGAGGGGCAGCAUGGUCUUAGCUUGCUAAGGCCGAUGGCGACCGGCGCACGGGUGAGUAACACGUAUCCAACCUGCCGUCUACUCUUGGACAGCCUUCUGAAAGGAAGAUUAAUACAAGAUGGCAUCAUGAGUCCGCAUGUUCACAUGAUUAAAGGUAUUCCGGUAGACGAUGGGGAUGCGUUCCAUUAGAUAGUAGGCGGGGUAACGGCCCACCUAGUCUUCGAUGGAUAGGGGUUCUGAGAGGAAGGUCCCCCACAUUGGAACUGAGACACGGUCCAAACUCCUACGGGAGGCAGCAGUGAGGAAUAUUGGUCAAUGGGCGAGAGCCUGAACCAGCCAAGUAGCGUGAAGGAUGACUGCCCUAUGGGUUGUAAACUUCUUUUAUAAAGGAAUAAAGUCGGGUAUGGAUACCCGUUUGCAUGUACUUUAUGAAUAAGGAUCGGCUAACUCCGUGCCAGCAGCCGCGGUAAUACGGAGGAUCCGAGCGUUAUCCGGAUUUAUUGGGUUUAAAGGGAGCGUAGAUGGAUGUUUAAGUCAGUUGUGAAAGUUUGCGGCUCAACCGUAAAAUUGCAGUUGAUACUGGAUAUCUUGAGUGCAGUUGAGGCAGGCGGAAUUCGUGGUGUAGCGGUGAAAUGCUUAGGUAUCACGAGGAACUCCGAUUGCGAAGGCAGCCUGCUAAGCUGCAACUGACAUUGAGGCUCGAAAGUGUGGGUAUCAAACAGGAUUAGAUACCCUGGUAGUCCACACGGUAAACGAUGAAUACUCGCUGUUUGCGAUAUACAGCAAGCGGCCAAGCGAAAGCGUUAAGUAUUCCACCUGGGGAGUACGCCGGCAACGGUGAAACUCAAAGGAAUUGACGGGGGCCCGCACAAGCGGAGGAACAUGUGGUUUAAUUCGAUGAUACGCGAGGAACCUUACCCGGGCUUAAAUUGCAGAUGAAUUACGGUGAAAGCCGUAAGCCGCAAGGCAUCUGUGAAGGUGCUGCAUGGUUGUCGUCAGCUCGUGCCGUGAGGUGUCGGCUUAAGUGCCAUAACGAGCGCAACCCUUGUUGUCAGUUACUAACAGGUUCCGCUGAGGACUCUGACAAGACUGCCAUCGUAAGAUGUGAGGAAGGUGGGGAUGACGUCAAAUCAGCACGGCCCUUACGUCCGGGGCUACACACGUGUUACAAUGGGGGGUACAGAGGGCCGCUACCACGCGAGUGGAUGCCAAUCCCCAAAACCUCUCUCAGUUCGGACUGGAGUCUGCAACCCGACUCCACGAAGCUGGAUUCGCUAGUAAUCGCGCAUCAGCCACGGCGCGGUGAAUACGUUCCCGGGCCUUGUACACACCGCCCGUCAAGCCAUGGGAGCCGGGGGUGCCUGAAGUGCGUAACCGCGAGGAGCGCCCUAGGGUAAAACUGGUGACUGGGG